rnacentral:rRNA from 1 species
GUCCUGCCGCCCCCGCCCGCCUACGGGAGGCAGCAGUGGGGAAUUUUGGACAAUGGGGGCAACCCUGAUCCAGCCAUGCCGCGUGAGUGAAGAAGGCCUUCGGGUUGUAAAGCUCUUUCAGCCGGGAAGAAAUCGCAUGGGUUAAUAAACCCUGUGCGGAUGACGGUACCGGCAUAAGAAGCACCGGCUACUACUG